rnacentral:rRNA from 1 species
AGUGAACGCUGGCGGUAGGCCUAACACAUGCAAGUCGAACGGCAGCACAGUAAGAGCUUGCUCUUACGGGUGGCGAGUGGCGGACGGGUGAGGAAUACAUCGGAAUCUACUUUUUCGUGGGGGAUAACGUAGGGAAACUUCCGCUAAUACCGCAUACGACCUACGGGUGAAAGCAGGGGAUCUUCGGACCUUGCGCGAUUGAAUGAGCCGAUGUCGGAUUAGCUAGUUGGCGGGGUAAAGGCCCACCAAGGCGACGAUCCGUAGCUGGUCUGAGAGGAUGAUCAGCCACACUGGAACUGAGACACGGUCCAGACUCCUACGGGAGGCAGCAGUGGGGAAUAUUGGACAAUGGGCGAAAGCCUGAUCCAGCCAUACCGCGUGGGUGAAGAAGGCCUUCGGGUUGUAAAGCCCUUUUGUUGGGAAAGAAAAGCAGCAGGUUAAUACCCCGCUGUUCUGACGGUACCCAAAGAAUAAGCACCGGCUAACUUCGUG